rnacentral:rRNA from 1 species
GACGAACGCUGGCGGCGUGCCUAAUACAUGCAAGUUGAGCGCUGAAGGUUGGUACUUGUACCGACUGGAUGAGCAGCGAACGGGUGAGUAACGCGUGGGGAAUCUGCCUUUGAGCGGGGGACAACAUUUGGAAACGAAUGCUAAUACCGCAUAAAAACUUUAAACACAAGUUUUAAGUUUGAAAGAUGCAAUUGCAUCACUCAAAGAUGAUCCCGGGUUGUAUUAGCUAGUUGGUGAGGUAAAGGCUCACCAAGGCGAUGAUACAUAGCCGACCUGAGAGGGUGAUCGGGCAAAUUGGGAAUGAGAAACGGCCCAAACUCCUACGGGAGGCAGCAGUAGGGAAUCUUCGGCAAUGGACGGAAGUCUGACCGAGGAACGCCGCGUGAGUGAAGAAGGUUUUCGGAUCGUAAAACUCUGUUGGUAGAGAAGAACGUUGGUGAGAGUGGAAAGCUCAUCAAGUGACGGUAACUACCCAGAAAGGGACGGCUAACUACGAGCCAGCCGCCGCGGUAA